rnacentral:rRNA from 1 species
UACGGGGGGAGCAAGCGUUGUUCGGAUUUACUGGGCGUAAAGGGCGCGUAGGCGGCCUCCGCAAGUCAGUUGUGAAAUCUCCGAGCUUAACUCGGAAAGGUCAACUGAUACUGCGGGGCUAGAGUGCGGAAGGGGCAACUGGAAUUCUUGGUGUAGCGGUGAAAUGCGUAGAUAUCAAGAGGAACACCUGCGGCGAAGGCGGGUCUCUGGGCCGUAACUGACGCUGAGGAGCGAAAGCGUGGGGAGCGAACAGG